rnacentral:rRNA from 1 species
GAUGAACGCUGGCGGCGUGCUUAACACAUGCCAGUCGAACGAAGCACUUUAUUUGAUUUCCUUCGGGACUGAUUAUUUUGUGACUGAGUGGCGGACGGGUGAGUAACGCGUGGGUAACCUGCCUUGUACAGGGGGAUAACAGUUGGAAACGGCUGCUAAUACCGCAUAAGCGCACGGCAUCGCAUGAUGCAGUGUGAAAAACUCCGGUGGUAUAAGAUGGACCCGCGUUGGAUUAGCUAGUUGGUGAGGUAACGGCCCACCAAGGCGACGAUCCAUAGCCGACCUGAGAGGGUGACCGGCCACAUUGGGACUGAGACACGGCCCAAACUCCUACGGGAGGCAGCAGUGGGGAAUAUUGCACAAUGGGCGAAAGCCUGAUGCAGCGACGCCGCGUGAGCGAAGAAGUAUUUCGGUAUGUAAAGCUCUAUCAGCAGGGAAGAUAAUGACGGUACCUGACGAAGAAGCACCGGCUAAAUACGUG